UUAACCCUGAUUCCUUGUGAGAAAGGGAGGCUUUUCUUUAGAUUUGGGUGGUGGCUCGACUGGAAGUGUAAAUAUUGAUCCGGGUGGAACUGGUUGAGGUCUCUGUAGUAUUCUUGAAGUUCUUCCUCUGUGCCCUGGAACACUCCAAAUAUAUCAUCAAUAUAUCUAUAAAAUAAGA